GGUGAACGCUGGCGGUAGGCCUAACACAUGCAAGUCGAACGGCAGCACAGUAAGAGCUUGCUCUUACGGGUGGCGAGUGGCGGACGGGUGAGGAAUACAUCGGAAUCUACUUUUUCGUGGGGGAUAACGUAGGGAAACUUACGCUAAUACCGCAUACGACCUACCGGUGAAAGCAGGGGAUCUUCGCACCUUGCGCGAUUGAAUUAGCCGAUGCCGGACUAGCUAGUUGGCGGGGUAAAGGCCCACCAAGGCGACGAUCCGUAGCUGGUCUGAGAGGAUGAUCGGCCACACUGGAACUGAGACACGGUCCAGACUCCUACGGGAGGCAGCAGUGGGGAAUAUUGGGCAAUGGGCGCAAGCCUGAUCCAGCCAUACCGCGUGGGUGAAGAAGGCCUUCGGGUUGUAAAGCCCUUUUGUUGGGAAAGAAAAGCAGCAGGUUAAUACCCCGCUGUUCUGACGGUACCCAAAGAAUAAGCACCGGCUAACUACGUG
rnacentral:rRNA from 1 species